rnacentral:rRNA from 1 species
GGCUGAAGUAGGUCCCAAGGGUAUGGCUGUUCGCCAUUUAAAGUGGUACGCGAGCUGGGUUUAGAACGUCGUGAGACAGUUCGGUCCCUAUCUGCCGUGGGCGCUGGAGAAUUGAGGGGGGCUGCUCCUAGUACGAGAGGACCGGAGUGGACGCAUCACUGGUGUUCGGGUUGUCAUGCCAAUGGCACUGCCCGGUAGCUAAAUGCGGAAGAGAUAAGUGCUGAAAGCAUCUAAGCACGAAACUUGCCCCGAGAUGAGUUCUCCCUGAGACYUURAGUCUCCUGAAGGAACGUUGAAGACGACGACGUUGAUAGGUCGGGUGUGUAAGCGCAGCGAUGCGUUGAGCUAACCGAUACUAAUGAACCGUGAGGCUUAACCUU